rnacentral:rRNA from 1 species
AUGGAAAAAUCUCCAGCCGUUUCCACCCCCAACUCCCCAAGCGAGGCCGUGCUCGUCCUGCGCGCUGCGCUCCGCGACACGCUCGGCGAGGCCGUGAGCGCCGUUGGGGCCGUCGCCGGCCUGGCGUCCCUGUCCAACCACGCGCGCGAGGAGAUGGUUGUGCGCAACUGCAUAGAGCUGCUCGGGUACUCCGUCGACGAGCUCGGGUGGUCGCUCAACGCCAUGGCCGAGCCCCUCCACGGCGCGGAGCCGGAGAUGGAGACCGCUCACGGCGCUGCGCCAAGGAGCGUUCGCAGGGGACGCACGCGGAAGACGACCUGCAGGCUUCCACGGCACCGAUGGCCGCCUGCUGCGUCGCGUCGAGGCGUCCGUGGCGCAGCUAACGCAGCUGGUGAGCAACCUCCUCGCCAUGCACAAGCGUUGCUGCGUAGGAUCAUGCCGCUGCGCCAGCACGGCAACAACGAUACGGCGGCGUCCGGCGCCGGUUCGGAGCUGCCGACGUGGGUGAUGGACGUCGCCGGCGUCGUCGAAGAGGAGCUCAAGCGCGCCCAGAGCUGGCGCGACGGCUCGAGUCGCUCGCCGCGCGGGAGGUGGAGGUGGUGGCCGCGCUCUGCGAGGGGGCCGGGGCGCGCCGCUGGCCGAGUUGAGCUCGUCCAAGAUUGA